UACAGAGGUCUCAAGCGUUGUUCGGAUUCAUUGGGCGUAAAGGGUGUGUAGGUGGCGCUGUAAGUCGGGUGUGAAAUUUCGGAGCUUAACUCCGAAACUGCAUUCGAUACUGCGGUGCUUGAGGACUGGAGAGGAGACUGGAAUUCCUGGUGUAGCGGUGAAAUGCGCAGAUAUCAGGAGGAACACCGGUGGCGAAGGCGGGUCUCUGGGCCGAUACUGACGCUGAGGAGCGAAAGCGUGGGGAGCGAACAGG
rnacentral:rRNA from 1 species